GACGAACGCUGGCGGCGUGCUUAACACAUGCAAGUCGAACGAUGAAGCGGGUGCUUGCACUCGUGGAUUAGUGGCGAACGGGCGAGUAACACGUGAGUAACCUGUCCUUUUCUUUGGGAUAACGGCUGGAAACGGCUGCUAAUACUGGAUAUUCAGGCUGCAUCGCAUGGUGUGGUUUGGAAAGGUUUUUUCUGGGAUUGGGUGGGCUCGCGGCCUAUCAGCUUGUUGGUGGGGUGAUGGCUUACCAAGGCUUUGACGGGUAGCCGGCCUGAGAGGGUGGUCGGUCGCACUGGGACUGAGAUACGGCCCAGACUCCUACGGGAGGCAGCAGUGGGGUAUAUUGCACAAUGGACGAAAGUUUGAUGCAGCGACGCCGCGUGGAGGGUGUAGGCCUUCGGGUUGUGAACUCCUUUUUCUCGCGAAAAAGGCACAGUUUUGGCUGUGUUGAUGGUAGUGGGGGAAGAAGCGCCGGCUAACUACGUG
rnacentral:rRNA from 1 species